UUGAAAGCUGGAAUGAACGAUUCUACAUUUAAAAUUUUUCUUAAUUAAAACCUAUAAUUUAGAGUUAAGGUAAAAAUACCUUAAUAUUUUAAAAAGACGAUAAGACCCUAAAAGCUUUAAAUUAUAACAAUUUAUAAUUAAAAUAAGAUUUAGUUUAAUUUUUUACUGGGGUAGUAAUAUCAAUGUUUUUUUUUAUAGACAAAUAUUAAUUUUAAAUUCCUUAAAAUUAGGGGGUUAAAUUAGUUACUUUAGGGAUAACAGCGUAAUAAUAUUGAAGAGAGCGUAUCUAUAAUAUUGAUUACGACCUCGAUGUUGAAUUAAUAAAUCUAAUUAAAGCAAAAUUUAGUAAAGAAGGUUUGUUCAACCUUUAAU
rnacentral:rRNA from 1 species